rnacentral:rRNA from 2 species
AAACUUUCAACAACGGAUCUCUUGGUUCUCGCAUCGAUGAAGAACGCAGCGAAAUGCGAUACGUAAUGUGAAUUGCAGAAUUCCGUGAAUCAUCGAAUCUUUGAACGCACAUUGCGCCCCUUGGUAUUCCGGGGGGCAUGCCUGUUUGAGCGUCAUUU